rnacentral:rRNA from 1 species
UACGUAGGGGGCUAGCGUUGUCCGGAAUCAUUGGGCGUAAAGCGCGUGUAGGCGGUUCGGUAAGUCCGCUGUGAAAGUCGGGGGCUCAACCCUCGGAUGCCGGUGGAUACUGUCGGACUAGAGUGCGGAAGAGGCGAGUGGAAUUCCUGGUGUAGCGGUGAAAUGCGCAGAUAUCAGGAGGAACACCGAUUGCGAAGGCAGCCCUCUGGGCCAACACUGACGCUCAUGCACGAAAGCGUGGGGAGCAAACAGG